CACCGAGCAGAGCAGUCCUUCCCGACACCUCAUCCGACGAACACGAUUCCGACCACGAGGGACAUCCCACACAGAGCAGAGCAGUCCUUCCCGACACCUCAUCCGACGAAGUGAGUAAGCCAGUCUUACGUACUAGAAACCAGUGAGGGCCGUCAAUACGGGGUUCCCUCCACUUCUUGGCUCCAUGCAGUUCCGAGCAGUGCACUCAGGGUACCAGAGGUACCCUAUCCUGUGCCACAGGGCUGGUAGAGUGUGAAUUGACUCCAAACCUUACCCAAUCUGUGUCCGUUCCAGCACGAUUCCGACCACGAGGGACAUCCCACACCGAGCAGAGCAGUCCUUCCCGACACCUCAUCCGACGAACACGAUUCCGACCACGAGGGACAUCCCACACAGAGCAGAGCAGUCCUUCCCGACACCUCAUCCGACGAAGU